GUCCGCGUACGCACGGUGGACCGGACACCGCGACACCGGACACCGGAACGCGUGGUAGCUUCGCGACGCUCGGCACGUCACUGAGGGGUGUCGCGACAUCCCCGAUAACCGGCGGCCGCGGGAAAAGGGGAAUCUUACACGCUCUGCUGAGGGGUUUUCGGUCGAGCCUUGAACUCAAUUUUCCGCGGAACAAAUUCACGUUAGUGUCCUUAUUACUUAUUGUAGCUUUAUUUCCGCCUCACGCUUAGCGACAGCAGUUGACGUUUAUUUUCAUGUCGUUUAUUUUCAGUUAGCCAACUGUGCGCCAGGCAUUAAUCAUCGUACAGGUAGUUACUUCGUUUCACGCGCGGACAGACCCCGACCUUCCCCGAUCUCGAUAAACUUUUCCGUCGGCCGCAACUUUAAUUUAUCUACUACUCCUCGUAAGAAUUUUUUUGCUUAUUCAUAAAGCAUAGUACAUAGGAGGAGACGGAUCGAUGAGCUUUGCACGGAAACAUGGUUUACGUUCCAUUAAUAAUCCCGCUAUCUCCACGCCGUUGAAUACAUAAUGCAUCAAAUUAUGCCGGCAACUGACUGUUUAACUUGAUAAUCCCACAUAUGCCAUCGUGUAUCAUGUGUCACAACUUAUAAUAUAAUAUAACAUUCUCACAUUCGCGUUAAUAAUAUUUUUUCCGAUUACGUUGUAUUCGUAAACACAUUUAUCUGACCUCGUCAAGUGUCAAAUAGUGUUACAAAAUUUAUCUACUUAUUAAUUUAGCAAUCGAACAGAUAAAGAAUGGAAAGCAAGAUAUCAUUGAUACAAUAUUACUAUAAUGACACUUUAGAACAUUAACGUUUUCAAAUACAUAGUUCUUAAUGUUUACAACGUUAUUAUGAAAAAUAUUUGAGUAAAACACUCAAAAUAACGUUUAGGAAUAUUAUGUUAUAGAGUUUGAAAACAAUUCGAAAAUAUUUAUGAAAUGUUAUGUCAUAAAACACACACAAAAUAAAUGUUUUAAAAGAUUGAUUUAAUGUUCUUUUGUUAAAGAUUGAUUUAAUGUUCCUUUGUUACUGCCAAA